rnacentral:misc_RNA from 1 species
GAAAUGCGAUAAGUAGUGUGAAUUACAGAAUUCAGUGAAUCAUCGAAUCUUUGAACGCACAUUGCGCCCUUUGGUAUUCCUUAGGGCAUGCCUGUUCGAGCGUCAUCUAAACCUUCAAGCCCUGCUUGGUGUUGGGUGCCUGUCCCGCCUCCGCGCGCGGACUCACCUCAAAUCCAUUGGCGGCCCCCGCGUCGGCCACGAGCGCAGCAGAAACGCGAACUCGUGAGCCCGUCCGGGCGGCUCCCAGAAGCUACACCCACCCAGUUUGACCUCGGAUCAGGUAGGGAUACCCGCUGAACAUAAGC